rnacentral:rRNA from 1 species
ACGGAAGCUUCGUUGCAUUCCACAUUCCACAUUCCACACUCCACUUGUACUCGGCUCUCCACUCCCGGUCUUGGUCGUCGUCAUCCGCAUCUCUCCACCCCGCCGCCUCACAUCCUCCUCGGCCCCUCCUCCUCCUCCCCCGACGAGCCGGGCCGGCGGCCGCACGCCGCUCAGGCGAGGUAGGGGCUACUGUACCUGCCUGCCCUACAACUCAUCCGCGCCCCACCCUCGCCACCUUAGAAGUGUCCAGGCAGACGCAUCAAACUUCUCAGCAGCCUCUGCAGCACUAUUGCUCUGCAGGGUCUUCUUCAGCUUCUGCGCCGCAAGGAAGAAUGGACAGGCUAGAUGGCUCUGCACGCCUUAUGAUCGUUUCGGAUCUUGACCAGACGAUGGUUGAUCACUGUGAUCCGGAGAACUCGGCCUUGCUCCGUUUCGAGGCGCUCUGGGAGUCUGAGUACUCCCAGGAUUCUCUGCUGGUGUUCUCGACUGGAAGAACGCCGGUUAGUUACAAGGCUCUGAGGGAAAGAAAGCCUUUGCUCACACCGGACAUCACCAUCAUGUCUGUGGGCACCGUGAUAGCAUAUGGCCAGGAGAUGACUCCUGAUGUUGGCUGGGAGGAAUUUCUGAAUAACAAGUGGGAUAGGGAUAUUGUUGUUCAGGAGACAGCUACGUUCCCUCAGCUAAAGCCACAGGCAUAGAGGAAUCAGGGUCCUCAUAAGGUCAGUUUUUCCGUUGACAGGCAGGGUGCUCAGGAAGUGAUUAAUUCACUCCCUCAGAAACUGGAACAGCUUGGGCUAGAUGUGAAGAUAAUCUAUAGUAGCGGAGAAGCCCUAGAUGUAUUGCCACGAGGCGCAGGGAAAGGGCAAGCUCUUAUAUAUUUACUCGAGAAGUUCAGUUCGUGCGCAAAAUCACCGAACAAUGUUCUUGUGUGUGGUGACUCUGGCAAUGAUGCAGAUUUAUUCAGUGUUCCAUCUGCCUAUGGUGUCAUGGUUAGCAAUGCCCAAGAGGAGCUUCUUCAGUGGUAUGAAGAGAAUGGAAAAGAUAAGCCUAAGUUGCUUCAUGCAACUGAGAGAUGCGCUUCCGGUAUCAUGCAAACUAUCGGUCACUUCAAACUAGGACCUAGUUUUUCUGUAAGAGAUCUUGAAUUCCCAUAUCCAAAGGUAGACACCAUCAAGCCUGCAGAUGUAGUGGUGAAGUUCUAUGUUCUUUACGAGAAGUGGCGGAGGGGUGAGGUUCAGAAGUCUCCAUCAGUUAUACAAUACUUGAAAAGCAUUACUCACCAGAAUGGCACACUGAUUCAUCCUUGUGGAAUGGAGAGGUCACUUCAUGCAUCCGUUGACGCACUGAGUUCAUGCUAUGGUGACAAACAAGGCAAAAAGUUCCGAGCAUGGGUGGACCGACUUGUUACAUCACCAAUUGGUACAAGUAACUGGUUGGUGAGGUUUGACAACUGGGAGAUGGAAGGUGGUGUGCAAUAUUGCUGCCGGACCACUCUUCUGCUGAAUACAAAGCCUGAGACUCCAGAGGGCUUGGAACUGACACACAUCCACAAGACCUGGGUUGAAGGAUACUCGGCUGGGAAUGAUCAUACCUUCAUCUUAUAGAUCAUUUAACCACUCGCCAUAUAUGCACAGACCCUCUCAGAGUCGGGAUAGAUUUACAAAUGUACUGGUUCCUGUGUAAAUGGAUCUCUCGGCUGAUUCAAACUACUGUACUGUUCUGACGCUCCCAGAGAGGGUCAAUCUUCAUGUUGAUCUCAUGCACCAAUAAGAAAUGUUCAAUGGUUCUAUCUCAUGAACUUAAUGAGAUCCAUAAGUUAAGUUCUUACUGCACCAGUAUGUUGUAAUUACAUAUAAUCAUUUCGCGAUG